CUUGAACACAAAUAAGCUGAAGUUAAACCGGUCAAUUGCUGAUGUCAGGGUUGGAAAAUGCUAUCGCGCUAUUUUUUUACAUAACAAAAUUGCUAUUUAACUUGAGUUGGACACUUGCGCCUCCUUACCGCCAGCCAAAAAUGUAGGAAUAUGUCUAAUUAGGAUUUCAAUAACCUAUAUUGUAUAUAUAAAUAAAACUGAUCGGUUCAAAGAGGUAAUGUUUUGGGAGUCAGAAGGUUGUUACCGUAUGAAAGGAAGAAUGGCUGUGACUGGAGAUCUGUUGGGUUCACCAGUAUCAGAUCUUGUUCCCAGAUCCACUUGUGUUUCCAGGCUCCAAGAUCCAAGACGGUUUACUGUUGGGAUCCAACAGCAGCUGUUUUGUCUGUUACAACAACAAACCAUCUUUAGUUUCACACCACUGGUUGUUGUAACCACUCCGUCCUCUGCUGCUGCUGUCAAUUGUGCCUCGGACAUCUUUGAUGGAAGAGCCGCAGUUCCCCGAGGAACAAUACCAGCGAGACGUUCCUCCCUUUGGGGGUGACAGACAUGGAGCCUCCAUAGAAGUGUCCCGCUGAAGCCAGGGAGACCAGUAGCAGCAGAUGCAGCAACACCGGUGUGGAGGAGGACAUGAUGCCUGGAUCUCUCUGGAGGAUUCCUCUCUACCUAUCUGCCUCCAGCAUCCAACCUUCAAACCUUUAUACCUUCUCAGACCAACCAUCCAUUCAGGAGGAAUGUCAGAGCAGAUGCCAAAAUUGUUUCCUUUGUAACUCACCCUGGACAUGUUCUCUUUCUGACAGGUGUAACUGGUUUUAAUGAACUGGGAAACAAAGAUUAAAAUACCUUUUCAUAAUAACCUGAAACGAAAGGGGAAAUAAAGUUGUGAGUUACAGUAAUUCUGUAUAUCUUGAACUUGUCUCUGCUAAUCUUGCCUUUGAAAUUAUGAUGAAUUGGUCCUGCUACAGAUUACUUUGUAAAUACAUCCUUCAUUCCCUUGGGUAGGCUGGAUAGGUGAAAACAGCCAUCCACUACCCUUUCACCAAUCCAAUCCAUAUUCACCCAUGGUAUUGCUUCUUGAGGUGUUCUAAUUCUCUUUCCACGCCUGUUACCAUGGUGAGGAUUACACAAACACAAAAAGGAUGCUUUUCACGGUAAUUCAUGACAAUCACCUUUAAAUCAACGUGUGAGUCAAAACUAUGUUUUUAUACUUCUGCUCUGUCCCUAUCAGAUGUUUUUCUGUUUGACAUCGUUGAACUGGC
ensembl:lncRNA